rnacentral:rRNA from 1 species
UACGUAGGGUGCAAGCGUUGUCCGGAAUUAUUGGGCGUAAAGAGCUCGUAGGCGGUCUGUCGCGUCGGCUGUGAAAACUCGGGGCUCAACCCCGAGCCUGCAGUCGAUACGGGCAGACUAGAGUGCGGUAGGGGAGACUGGAAUUCCUGGUGUAGCGGUGAAAUGCGCAGAUAUCAGGAGGAACACCGGUGGCGAAGGCGGGUCUCUGGGCCUGCACUGACGCUCAUGCACGAAAGCGUGGGGAGCGAACAGG